GAAUUGAAUUCUGCAGACAUGUGAUGCCGACCUCUGGAUGUCAGUCCAUGUUUCCUGGGGUCAUGUCAUGACUCGUGGGUAUGGCGGGGGAGCCCUCUCCGUCAGCACCUGGAAGCAAAACUUCGGCUUGCUUGGAGACUCCAGCUAUACAUUAGAACCGUGACUCCUGACACCAGUGCCCGGACGCCCAGCUCGUGGCACCCCUGAUAACCACUACAACAAGGCCCACACCGCCAUGCGCAAUGUUGUGGAGUGGUGCAACGCUGUAAGCUUGUGCAGAGCUGCACAAGCAUCAUUGCUGCUUGUGCAGCUCUGCACGACAUUGCGUUGGCGGCACAUAAGCCUGUUCUCGAAGGGGACGAUGACGACACAGACGAUGCUGAGCUGCUGCCAGCAGCAGCUGAGCUACCACCACCACCACCACAACGGGAGCCAGCAGCAGCGCAACCGUGUAGUGAACCUGUUUCGAGAACCACCGGGCCUGCAUGCUUGAGCAUCUGCGCAGAGUACGCCGCCGCCUGCAACGACCUCGGCAGCAUUGUGUGGUGGCUUCCGCUGCAAUGAGGGCCCGGGCGAGGGUACCAACGCCUUGCAAUUCGUGGACCACGUCACUGAGAAGUUGAACCUGGCGCAGCUUUCCAAUGAUGCCUGGCCCUGCCGCCUGGUGUUUGCGGCUAGUAACUCCAGCGCCUCGGCCUGCCGGUUGCCCCCAUCUCGCAGCUGCGGC